rnacentral:lncRNA from 1 species
UUUUUUUUAUUUUUUAAAUAUGAAAAUAAUAAAAUUGAUUUGGUAGUUUAAUUUUACAAAACUAUUUUCAAUUUAAUAGUUUUAAAAGUUACAAUGGAUUUUAGAAAUUUUGACUUUUGAAAAUUAAGAAUAAAGAAAUAAGAAAAAUUUAUAAAAUUUUAAUUAAUGGAAAUUUUUUAAUAUUGUACAACUUUAAAACACUGUUUAAUAAUAUGAUUACCAAAUAUGUUUUCAUUUAUUUUUUUUCUUUAAAA